GGUUUUGUAGGUAUCCACAAAAACUGAUAGGGGUUCUGGGACGCCGAUCGCAUAAGAAACCUGCACAAUACAGCGCCGAGCAAGCCCUGAUGCGACAACACUCUUUGCUGCCUGCCUUACAAUGUAUGCACCACUCCGGUCCACCUUGGUUGGAUCUUUCCCUGAGAAAGCACCACCACCAUGAGCACCCCAACCACCAUAGGUGUCAAUGAUAAUCUUCCUGCCCGUAAGCCCAGCAUCUCCAUGGGGUCCUCCAAUGACAAAUCUACCCGAAGGAUUGAGGUGAUAAAUAGUUUUGUCAUCAAUGAAUUGGGCUGGGACGACAGGUUUGAUCACAUGUUCCUUCAAAUCACUAGCGAUCUGCUCAUUUUUGACAGUCUCAUCGUGUUGGGUUGAGAUGAGGAUG
rnacentral:lncRNA from 1 species